rnacentral:lncRNA from 1 species
CGGUCUCCAGCCUCCGGAACAUAUCUUGAAGAGAUAGCUGUUGAUUGGGAAAUUCUUCCCUAACCAAAAAACCCAAGCCCAAACCAGAAAACCACAACUAACCCAAAUCCAGGAUUUAGUGCCCCUAGUCUGGGGUCUCUGCGGUGGGCCCUCUCCCCGACAGCCAUAGACACACAACCUCACCACCUUCGGUGCCCCGAGGCUUCCCGGUCGGUCGGGUCAGUUCCUUGCUUUGCCUCUGAGCAAGUGGCCCAUUGGGUUGGGGCUGCCAACGUGCGUCUAUGAAGGGUUGGGUGUUGGGGGAGCAGGGGGGCCCCUUCCUCGGCGAAUACCUCUCCCCGUCAGCUCACUUGUACAGUAAAGGAAAUCUGAUUUUAAAAAUAGAGCUUGGAAGAGGAGAUGAGAGGAUAUUUAGGAGCAGAGCUGAGCCUGGGGCGGGGGGCGGGGUGGAGGAAUUAGGGAAGAGGUGAGGAGAGGGGUGGCGGCCUGCGGCCAAGUUGCUGAGGGGCGGUGAGAAAGGGGAGGUGUGAGCACGGGAGGGGUGGCCCCCAGACACUGGCCGACAGGCCUGGAGUCCCCUGGCUCUCGGGCUGUCAGGUGGGCUAACAUCAGCUGGAGACACCCCCCCCCCCCACCGCCUACCGCCGCCGGCUCGCGCUGCCUCUGGGCCCUGCUCAGAGUCACUUGGAUUUGAGGGUCUUAGGGGCUGAGUGACCUGGAGAUCUGUUCCCUGCAGAGUCUCCACUGCCCCACGAUGGGGGGGGGGCUCUUGGGGACCCUGGGAAGGCCACAGGCUGUUGUGAGUUAUUCUCUUACAUUAAGGUCAGGGUCAAGGUCAAGGUGUGUCCAGGCUGAGGUGGGAGUCCUGCUGGGCUCUCUGGCUGGGCACCGGCAGCGUGGGUCCCUCUCUUCGCCCAGCUCGUUUGUUGGGAGCAGAUUAGGAGGGUGGGGGGGCCUUCUGAGAGUGCUCCCUGAGGGCCCCCUGAGGAGCUCGGGUUGGGUCCCGGGUCCCAGUGGACCAUGGGACCGUCCAGGGCUGCUGGCCUGUCAUAGCUCCAGGUAGGGAGUCGGGGGUCUGGGCCCCUGCCUUUCCACUCAACCCCCUGACCUGUGCCAAGACCCUUGGGCCUUACGGAGGGAGAUGCUUCUCACCUUGACCCAGAACAGCGAGGCCCAGGUACUCUCGUCCCCGCCCCUGGCCUGGCUAGAGGCCCCCGACUGUCCGUCUCCCUGGCCUCAGACAUCACUGGCAACACUGAGUGUCUAGACAGGGGCCACUGGGUUAUGGCAGAGCUGGGGCUGGCCCCUGGGCUUGUCCUCCGAGUCCAGCCCAGGCGGGGUGGGGGCCUCCUGGAGAGGGUGCCCAGCUCCCCGCUUCCCCGGCCAUCGAGGUGAAGGGCAGUGCCCCUGAUUCUGAAGAGAGCGUGCCCCUCCGCUGCUUGACUGGCAGCUCCAGGGGGCGGCUGGAUCACUCUGCCCAGAAUAACCCUGGGAGGGGGAGAGGGCCGCCUGCGGGAGGGGCUGAGCGAGGGGUCACGGAUGGCCAUGUCCUCCUCCUUCGGGCGACCCAAAUCGGCCUGGCCGAUCCGCUGUGCCCGAAGCCGCCCUUGCCCUUCAAGGCAAGUGGGCUGGGAAGGUGCUGCCAGCCCAGGACCUAGGCUGACUGUCCAUGUGACCUUCCCCCGGGUCCUCAGUUUCCCCAGAUCUGCGGGGGGGGUUUGGGCUGUGUCUUCUCUGCCCCUGUAGGUCUGGGGUCCCGAGAAUUGCCCAUGGGGUAACCCUCGGGAGCAGGGGUGAGGGGAGGGGGCGGGCUGAGCAGGUGGGGGCCCUCCUACCCUUUCCACAGUUGGGAGCACAGGCAGGGGGGUUUCUUUGUCCAGGUUUGACCCCCGGGCUGGGCGAGUGAACUCUCUCGGGUCUCUGGCGGGCUCCCUCUGUGCCUGGUGCCAUGGUGGCAGGCCUUUGUCAUGGGGGUUCCUGGGGCAGGAGGCUGGGGCCUUGGUGCAGGGCUGGCGAGGGCUGGAGUGGGGGGCAGAGGCUGGCCUCCGUCUCCCCAUUUCCGUAAAGGAAGGGGCACGCCAAGCCUUUUGUACACCGGAAGGGCUGAAAUCACCUUUGGGAUUCUUGGGAUUAUUAUUUCAGCACACUCGCUCUAAGGGUAAGGUCAGGACUCAGACGGCCUCUUCGCGCGUGGUGCCACCUUUCAUCCUCCCGGUAACCCGGGCGAGGUGAUGAUGCCCUGUCUUUCAAGUGAGAGAACCUGAGCCCAGGGGGUGAAGCCAGUGGCCCAGGAGCUGUAAUUAGCGGGGGCAGUGGUGCUCGGACCCCGGUCAUUGGACGGCCCUGUGACCGGGGCUAGUGAGGGAUGGCGCGUGGAGAGGCAGGGGGCGCGUGUCCUCCAGACGGGGGUCAUCAGCCUCCCUGCAUCACAGGAAGGGUUCCCCAGGGAGUGUCUGCUCUGUGUCAGGCAUGGCCCUGGGCCCGAGGCCCCCAGACUGACGGUGCUCCUUCCAGGGUGGGCUUGCUUCCUGGCUCACGGGGUCAAGUUGAGAAGGCGAGAGCCCCGUUUGGGAAGGAAGAGGCAGAGGCGUCAGUCGAAGCCAGGCUUAGGCUCUCCGCCCUCCACUGGAGGGUGGGGUGGGCGGUGGCCAUCUGGGGACCCCAAGGGACAUCACAUUGUGGCGUCCCUGUGGUCAGCUUUGUGGCCUGGAGGGAGGCCAGAUCAGAGGAAGGGCCUUCUCAGUGUCUGCCCUCCAUCUCCUCGAAAGUCUGCGGCCACUCCCAGCUCCUUUUGGCUAAUUCGGUUGUCGGCAGAGGGACAGGACAGCUGGCCCAGGACCUGCUAAUUAUAGCUGCUCAAGUGUUUGAGGGGGCAUUGAGUCCCCCAUGUCACGGGUUUUCUUGCAGACAGACGAACCCUUAGCCUCUGUUCCUGACACCGGCGCAGCUCCCAGAAUGGCCCAGACGCCCCAGCCCCACCCCAGGCCCCCUGGGAGGUCCGCGCGGGACCUCGCCCCAGGUCUUACCUUUGAUGCGAGUGGUUGGCGGAUCUGGUCCUGUCCCGUCGGCUGGAGCUCCGCUGCUUCCUAGAAAGUGAUUGGAUAAAUGGGGUUCUCUGAGUAUGAAAGCGGCCACCGUCCACUCGCCUCCCUGUCCCGCUUUUCUCUUGGGGCCGCAUGGCGGCCCGUCCCUACCUUUGGGUGCGUCUCAGUAUUUCCUAUGUCCUUGGCUGUCUUCGUUCUGUCACCCUUGUCACACCCAGGGAAGCCGUAACUUCAUUAUCCCCCUUCUGCAGGGGAGGAACCCGGGGCCCAGCGCCCAACCGCAGGCCCCGGGGGGACCAUGUGCCUUCUCUAACGGGGACCGACCAAGGCCGUGUGUCUGGUCAGGCUUGGGGUCUGCGUGUCAGCCCAGCUGGGGUGCACGGUGGCGCUCGUGCCCUGCUUUGCUCUGUGAUGCCCAAGCUGUUGGCAAGUUCUUAGCGGGGCCCCCACCGCGGGCUCCCCUGGGCCCUGAUGGAGGCCCGCACUGGCUACUCCUUUCUCUCAUCACCUCCACCCCCGUCCCGCACGCAGGUGGGGCCUGGGGCAGCGGCUCGGAGAGGUGGGCUGCACCUCAGCCAGGGAACCCGCUGGGUGUCUUCUCUUCUCCCCUCCCAGGUGGCGUGGAGGUGACAUGGCGGCUUUCUCCGGGAAGGAGGAAGACAGAUGCCGGGCCCAGGAGCGAAUGGAAAGCUGAGGCUCACUGCCCUCCCCCCCGGUGGGCAGUGAGUCAGUGGGUUCCCGAGGCCACAGUGGGGUCCCCCAGGAUGGCACAGCUGCCCAGAGGAGUGUGAGGCCGGCCCUCCGAGGCUGACCUUGCUGCAGCCCAGGUACGGACGCCCUGCUCUGCUGCUCUGACAGCCUUGCUGGGGAGGUGGGGCCCUCCGAGAGUGGGGGCGGGGGGCAACGCGACCUUAGGAUGGUGGCAUAAUUGAAAGAUUGGAAUAACACUUUUUUUUUUUGUCCUUUUGGGGCCACACCCACGGCACAUGGAGGUUCCUAGGCCAGGGGUCUAAUCCGAGCUGCAUCUGUGACCUACACCACAGCUCACGCAACGCCCAAUCCUUAACCCACUGAGCAAGGCCAGGGAUUGAACCCGAGUCCUCAGGGCUACUAGUCGGGUUCCUUAACUGCCGAGCCGUGAUGGGAACUCCCAGAAUAACCCCAUUACUCUUGUCUGUCUGUUAUGCCUCCCUCGGGAGCUGUGCACGUCUCUCACUGUAAUACAAAGGGUGCCAACAACAGGGCAUCAAUGGUGGGGGCUCCAGGGGUCUGCCUGGGGGCAGAGGUGGCUCCCUUGGGAGGUGGCAGUGGUAAAUUCCCCCCACCCACUCCUGUAGGGCGGGCCCGGCAGUGUUCAGGUGUUGCUUUUGAUGCCUUUAAUGAAAUAAGUUAUCAGAUGCCUGGCGCAUAGUAGGUACUCAAUAUAUGCAAAAAUGGUUCUUAUUUCAGGUGAAUCUGUACCCUAGCUGUCCCUUUGAAAGCCCUUGUCAUCUGUGGAGACUCUGGGCACGAGGGGUAGGCAGGUCAGCAGUGGGUCCCGGCGGUCUUUUCUCGAGUCAACCCUGUAACUUUUAUUGGCAUGCCAGGAUUUAUAUCGCCUUCUGGAGCAGUGAGUGUCUUCACGGGGAAUUACCCGGGCCUGGAGGCGGGUGCCAGUCACCUGGGUGCUGUAUUUUAUUUGUAUUUAUCAUAAAAAUCUUUUGUAUCUGAAAAACUAUGACAGACACCUCACAGUAUCCACCAGACCCACAUCCUGUCCGGAAUAAAACACCGCGUAAUAAAUAGCAGAGCCUCGUGUGCAGGCAGGGUGAUCAAAGAGCCGUUCAGGCUGGCAGAGGACCGGCUAACCAACCUCUGCUCCCAUUGCUUCUGCCCAAAGUCACGGUUGAAAAUAGGUGUCUAGAAGUGCUAGAAGGUCCUGCCCGUGUUAGCUUGGCGGGGUGGGGGUAGGGGGAGAUGCUAAUCGGCUAACCCAUCUGUUGAUCUGUGCCUAUGGAGUGAGGGCAGAACCGGAUGAGGCUUCAGGCCACUUUGGGCUUAAAGUGGGUUUUGUUUUGUGUUCUCGGGAUCGUGGAGCCUUGAUGUCUUCACGUGCGGAAAAGGGUCUUCCUUGCUGCUCCCUUAACGCCUUGCCGUUCAGGGAUCCUGACGCCUGUGACAGCUGGAGGGGGACCUGGGGACCUGAAGCUUAGUGGUGGGCAGGGGCUGCGGUGCCUCGGGGAGAGAGGGGAUUCUGAUGGGAGGGCGGGGUGCUGCCCUGGUCACGAAGGGGGCCAGGCAGGGACCUGCAAGGCUGCUCCCCAUGUUCAGAGGGUUGAUGGGCUGUGACCACACCCCCGGGUGGUUAGAACUGGGGAGGAAACCGGGCAGCUGCGGGCUCCAGCCUGGAAUUGAGCCAUCUGAGGAAGAGGCAAAGCUUGGCUCAUGCCCCUCCCCCCCACCUGGCACCCCUCCCCAGAGGCUUCCGUGUCCCCUCUCCGGGGACUCUCAUGUCACAUUUCUCCCCAAGUCCUCAUUCCAGUUAGCUAAUCCCGGAGGAUACGGGCCAAGGCAUUCGCUUUGGGGCCUUUUAAAGACCCAAAAGGAAAGUCUUCCUGGAUGGGUGCCUUGCAGACACCCGCCUGGCAGCUCUGGAGGGAUCUGAGGCCUGUGGUGGUGAAAUCCCAGCCAGUGGGCACGCACCUGCUGGCCUCAUGUCACUGACAUCCCACCAGGAGGCUAGGGGUCGGGGCGGGGGGCCUCCAGCUUUAGAAUGUAAAAAAUUAAAAAAAAGAAUGAACUUGGGGACAAAAUAAAUCCCUCAUGUCUGCAGAACUUGUUUGGGGGGGACUGUGCCCACUCCAAAACGCUCUUCCUUUU